UGCAUGUCAUGUGACUUCGGCCAGGAACCCAAGCUGAGUUAGAUUCAUGUCACCCAUGUGUUUAAUCAAUCCAGUUUAAUCUUUAUCUAUCUUUGCCCGGACGAAGCAUUGUGGUUUCACACUUCCUUGAAACCAUUAAACCUGUGGACAAAAGGUCAA